rnacentral:rRNA from 1 species
GCCUCCCUCCGCCGCCAUCAGACUCCUACGGGCGGCGAGCAGGUGGGGAAGUUUUGGCGUCAAGUCGGGGGAAACCCGUGGACGCAGCAACGCCGCGUGGAGGAGUGAAGUCCUUGGGACGUAACUCCUUUCGACCGGGACGAUAAUGACGGUACCGGUAGAAGAAGCCCGGCUAACUUCGUGCCAGCAGCCGCGGUAAAC